GCCAGUGUGGGAUAGUGGUUUAAGCGUUGGAUUGUGACUCUAGAGACUAAGGUCCAAAUCCUUGCUCGGUCA